UGAGAUUCAAGAUGAUCCAUUUGUCUUGAAGUUGAGGGAAGGAGGUUUGUUGGGUAUGUCUCCUUUCAGACACCUCCACUCGAUGAAGAUGCCCAGAGAUUAGUUUCCAGUCCCUGAUGCCCUCGAGGCUAUGGAAAGCAAAGUUCAGUUUUUCCACUUCUUCAAAAGUCGCCUGUGGUAAUUAACUCUCAAGAUUCCUGCCUUCCUUCAGAUGGAUUUUGGGUUGAGUAUUUCUUACUUUCCUGGAAUACUUUCCAGAGACAACUCAUGGUCAAAAUAUAUAUGAGAUUGUUCUAAAACAGACAAGGCAAGACAGUGAAAAUUUUUUGGAAAAUCUACCUCAAAUCUCAGUGCAUCAAACCCCUCAGUGUCCUCAGCAAAAACACCAGUCCGUAUGUUUUAGGUGCAGCUGACCCACCCUUCCGUUCUAGGGGUGAAACAUGACCUGGAACUUUCCAAAAGAAUGUUUCCAUGGCUCCAAUAAUCGAUUCAGAGCAGAGGAAGAAGAUUUGUGAAAUGACAGCUGUAAUUUCUUUGACUUCCUUAGAAGAAAGCUUCAAUUUAAUUUAAAGGUCUACAAGGGAGAAUUUCUAUACAUGCAGCCUGCAAAUUACAUAUCGCUGGCAACAUUUAAAUGUGAAAAUACCCUCAUGCAGGACAUAACCAAGAGUCCUCCCUGAAGAAUUCGGUUGCUAGAGCAGUGUGGCAACACGAUCCUCUGCUCACUACCUAAGAAUAUUUGCAGGCAAGGUGCAUACAAGUUGAGUCCUACGUGUGAUUUUACUUCAGUCGUGAAAGACUCCAUGAAGCAAACUUUGUGCACACUUUUUUCCACGCUUCUCAACUGGGGUAUGAGUUUUUGCAUGUGUGGGAGUGAGCCAGCAAGGGUGAGAAAUCACCAACUAACAUUUUCCCAAAGAAUCAA